UACGUAGGGUGCAAGCGUUACUCGGAAUUACUGGGCGUAAAGCGUGCGUAGGUGGUUUGUUAAGUCUGUUGUGAAAGCCCUGGGCUCAACCUGGGAAUUGCGAUGGAUACUGGCAAGCUAGAGUACGGUAGAGGAUGGUGGAAUUCCCGGUGUAGCGGUGAAAUGCGUAGAGAUCGGGAGGAACACCCGUGGCGAAGGGCGGCCAUCUGGACCAGUACUGACGCUGAGGCACGAAAGCGUGGGGAGCAAACAGG
rnacentral:rRNA from 1 species